GCACGGAAGGCGGUGAUCAGGAAGCCUCCAGCAGUUGUACCAUUGUUCGCUACACAACCACAGAGAAAAAUACAGGAGGAAACAAGUCUAAUUGCGUCAAGUUUGCUGAUGAGUUAUGGCAGCUCACUGCGUCACUCUGAUCCUUUUCUGGAAGACAGACAAAAGACCUAGGAGAGAAGCAGGUCUUCUGUCAUUUGCACCAGGAUAUGAGAAGAGAUGAAAAUAAUGUCCCCAGAGAGAGUGUGAUAAGCACUGAGGACUCAGCUAACUGUGACUCCCAAAAGCAAAGUCCCAGAGGAUUGUGCAGCCUCAGAAGAAAGGAGAGAUUGGAAGAAAGGAGAGAAAGGAGCAAAAGGUGCAUGGUAAUGGAAAAUGUGCAUUUUCAAGCACAUGCUUAUUUUUCGUGCAGAACACAUGUAAUAUAAAAGGUUGCUUCAUUUUACUGGUGCCCCGCAGAUCCUUUUGUCAAACUGAAUUGGACCUAAAAAGAUAUUUCCAGUGUAUUCAGACAGAGGUUGACUCUCCUAUUGUUUCUUCAUUGGUACCUGUGAUGAAAUGGUGGUUUGUCUUGUUCUAGAAUAUCAGUUAGAAAAAUAUUUGUUUGUAUUUAUGUUUGUGCUAAGGUAUAAACUAAUGUUAUACUGGAAGUUUUGGACUGAAUGUAGUAGAGGCAGCAACAGCACCAUGGUGAUUGGGCAGUGGAGAUUCCAUAUGCUGAUUGAGAGAGAAGGUCUGUUAAGUCAGUCGGAGUUAGACUGUUGGAAGAUGCGUUACUGGUUGGAAAAUGUGUUUUAUGUAGCUUUGUGUAAAGGAUACAAGAAGUAUAUUUAUUUCAAACAAGAGUAAAUCCU